UGCAGCACCUCUCUCUCCGCCGCUUUGUCUCCUGCGCGGGCCCUGGUCCUCCCCUCGCCCGCCGGCGUAGCGCUCCUCUCCUCGCUGCUCAACGACGUGCUGCCAUGAUGCCUGUAUUGAUCCUGGGCUACGGCAUCCGCGCAUGGCAGGCACUGCCGGCCUGACCCCGCUUUCCCUCCCCUGCACCGGUGCAGCGCUCUUUUUCCUCACCCGAAAACCAUCGCUCGAUUAAUUUUCUGUCUUUCCCUCUCCUGGAAUCAGAGUUUUCGAUCGGUUUAAUUUGUUCGUCAUCGGUUCUCCAGCCUUAUCGCUGACAGUUGGAUAUAAAGGAUAUUAAGGAGUCAAGCAUGAUCAUCUUCUGCACACUUUAAAUUAGUAAUACCUGUUUACUCAAUAAUUAUUUUACAUUUUUUUAGAGUUCAGAUCCAGCAAGACUUUUACAUAUCUUUUUCUACGGUUCAAUUCUAUUGUUGUACUCACAUGUCGUGCGUGUUAUACUUAA